AGCAGCCGCGGUAAUUCCAGCUCCAAUAGCGUAUAUUAAAGUUGUUGCAGUUAAAAAGCUCGUAGUUGAAUUUCGGGGUCAGUGGGUCGGUCGUGCCACUGGUAUGUACUGGCCCUACUGAUUCCUCCUUCUUGAAGAACUGUAAUGCCAUUAAUUUGGUGUUGCAGGGAAACAGGACUGUUACUUUGAAAAAAUUAGAGUGUUUAAAGCAGGCAAUCGCUUGAAUACAUUAGCAUGGAAUAAUGAAAUAGGACGUUCGAUCCUAUUUUGUUGGUUUCUAGGGUUGACGUAAUAAUUAAUAGGGAUAGGUGGGGCAUUAGUAUUCAAUUGUCAGAGGUGAAAUUCUUGGAUUUAUUGAAGACUAACUACUGCGAAAGCAAUUUGCCAAGGAUGUUUUCAUUAAUCUAAGAACGAAAGUUAAGGGGAUUCGAAGACGAUCAGAUACCGUCGUAGUCUUAACCAUAAACUAUGACCGACUAGGGAUCGGAUGAUGUUAAUUUUUAAUGUACUCUAUUCGGCG
rnacentral:rRNA from 1 species